rnacentral:rRNA from 1 species
CCUCAGGAAAAGAAUUUUAGUCCAACCUAAAGUUGCCUUAAUACUGUUAAAUUAAAAAUUCAACUUUAGAGCAACUCAAAUAAGGUACAGCCUAUUUGAGACAGGAAACAACCUUCACCAAUGGGUAAACAAUUUAGUAACAUAAUCAAGUAGGCCUAAGAACAGCCACCUUUAAAAAAGCGUCAAAGCUUAUAUAUAAAACUUAUUAAUAACUAUACCUCCACUGACCCCUUCAACCGUACUGAGUAUUUCUAUACUAUUAUAGAACCUUUUAUGUUAAAACUAGUAACAAGAAGCAAAACUUCUCUUUUAUGUGAACGUAAGUCAGUAAGGACCCCCCACUGACAAUUAACAGACCAUUAAAAUAGCAAACCCACUGGAAAACCCUAUUAUAGCCCUCUGUUAACCUAACACAAGAACAUCACAAGACAGAUUAAAAGAAAAAGAAGGAACUCGGCAAAUCAUCAACCCCGCCUGUUUACCAAAAACAUCGCCUCUUGCAAACAUAAGAGGUCCAGCCUGCCCAGUGACUUCAGUUCAACGGCCGCGGUAUCCUAACCGUGCAAAGGUAGCGUAAUCACUUGUCUUCUAAAUAAAGACUUGUAUGAAAGGCAUCACGAGGGUCAAACUGUCUCCUUUUUCCAAUCAGUGAAACUAAUCUCCCCGUGAAAAAGCGGGGAUAAUAUUAUAAGACGAGAAGACCCUAUGGAGCUUUAAACUUAACAGCACUUGCCCUUUAACUAAAAAUAACCUCCUCCCUACAUUUUGCUGUGAGUUUUAGGUUGGGGUGACCGCGGAGAAAAAUAAAUCCUCCUCAAUGAAAUAGAAUUAAUCCUUAAGUGAAAAGCCACACCUUAACACAUCAAUACUCUUGACAUCUAUUGACCCAAUAUUUUGACCAACGAACCAAGUUACCCUAGGGAUAACAGCGCCAU